rnacentral:rRNA from 1 species
GAUGAACGCUGGCGGCGUGCCUAGUACAUGCAAGUCGAGCGAACGGACGAGAAGCUUGCUUCUCUGAUGUUAGCGGCGGACGGGUGAGUAACACGUGGAUAACCUACCUAUAAGACUGGGAUAACUUCGGGAAACCGGAGCUAAUACCGGAUAAUAUUUUGAACCGCAUGGUUCAAAAGUGAAAGACGGUCUUGCUGUCACUUAUAGAUGGAUCCGCGCUGCAUUAGCUAGUUGGUAAGGUAACGGCUUACCAAGGCAACGAUGCAUAGCCGACCUGAGAGGGUGAUCGGCCACCCUGGAACUGAGACACGGUCCAGACUCCGACGGGAGGCAGCAGUAGGGAAUCUUCCGCAAUGGGCGAAAGCCUGACGGAGCAACGCCGCGUGAGUGAUGAAGGUCUUCGGAUCGUAAAACUCUGUUAUUAGGGAAGAACAUAUGUGUAAGUAACUGUGCACAUCUUGACGGUACCUAAUCAGAAAGCCACGGCUAACUACGUG